UACGUAGGGGGGCAAGCGUUGUCCGGAAUCAUUGGGCGUAAAGAGCGUGUAGGCGGCCCGAUAAGUCCGCUGUGAAAGUCCAGGGCUCAACCCUGGGAUGCCGGUGGAUACUGUCGGGCUCGAGUCCGGAAGAGGAGUGUGGAAUUCCUGGUGUAGCGGUGAAAUGCGCAGAUAUCAGGAGGAACACCAAUUGCGAAGGCAGCUCGCUGGGACGUUACUGACGCUGAGACGCGAAAGCGUGGGGAGCAAACAGG
rnacentral:rRNA from 1 species